UACGUAGGGGGCAAGCGUUGUCCGGAAUCAUUGGGCGUAAAGAGCGUGUAGGCGGCUCGAUAAGUCUGCUGUGAAAGUCCAGGGCUCAACCCUGGAAGGCCGGUGGAAACUGUCGGGCUAGAGUCCGGAAGAGGCGAGUGGAAUUCCCGGUGUAGCGGUGAAAUGCGCAGAUAUCGGGAGGAACACCAAUGGCGAAGGCAGCUCGCUGGGACGGUACUGACGCUGAGUAGCGAAAGCGUGGGGAGCAAACAGG
rnacentral:rRNA from 1 species